UACGUAGGGGGCAAGCGUUGUCCGGAAUUACUGGGGCGUAAAGCGCACGCAGGCUGACUUAUAAGUCGGUAGUCUAAUGCGGAGGCUCAACUUCCGUUUAUCUAUCGAUACUGUAAGACUAGAGUAUGUGAGAGGGAAGUGGAAUUCCCGGUGUAGCGGUGAAAUGCGUAGAUAUAUGGAGGAACACCAGUGGCGAAGGCGACUUUCUGGCACAAUACUGACGCUCAUGUGCGAAAGCUAGGGUAGCGAACGGGAUUAGAUACCCGGGUA
rnacentral:rRNA from 1 species